UUUCUUCAACAAAAUCCGCACAGUGAGCAACGAGCAAUUUAAAGAUAUCGCGCCAAGUAUUCGAUUCCUGGUCCUAACUGAAUUGUUAACAACGAAAUUGAGGCAACUUUGUUCAUUGACAAUGUGGCCACAUACAGUCUUUGACUGUUUAUUUUUGUUCUUGAUGCCUUGCAUCUUGGUACGACGUAUUCUGAGUCUUAAAUUCCAGCAAUUCUUGGGCUAUUUGAUGGAAAAGUGUGGACGAAAUC